CUUUAGGAGUUUAGGGCUUUAGGGGUUUAGGGGUCAUCGGUUUUAGGGUUUAGGGUUUUAGGGGAUAGGGUCUAUGGGGUUAGGGUUUAGGAUAUGGGGACUAGAAACGGAGGCCAGGAGGGUUCUAUAAGGGUUCUAGAAUGGUAGCUGAUCUGUGCGGAAGACAUAGUCAGGUUGGGAGUUUGGCUGGGGCGGCACAUCUGUUAAAUGAUAACGCAGGUGUCCUAAGGUAAGCUCAAUGAGAACAGAAAUCUCAUGUGGACCAAAAGGGGAAAAGUUUGCUUGAUGAUUGUCGUACGAAUACAAACUGAGAAAAACAUGGCCUAUCCCUCCUUUAGGUCUGAGACAUAUCCAGCUAAAGGUGUCAGAAAAGUUACCACAGGGACAGCUGGCUUGUGGCAGCCAAGCGUUCAUAGCGACGUUGCUUCUUGAUCCUUCGAUGUCGCCUCUUCCUAUCAUUGAGACGCAGAAGUCCCAAAGCGUCGGAUUGUUCACCCGCCAAUACGGUGGAUGAUAUAAAUCCUGCAUUA
rnacentral:ncRNA from 1 species